rnacentral:rRNA from 1 species
AACGAACGCUGGCGGCAGGCCUAACACAUGCAAGUCGAACGAGACCUUCGGGUCUAGUGGCGCACGGGUGCGUAACGCGUGGGAACCUGCCCUUAGGUUCGGAAUAACUCCCCGAAAGGGGUGCUAAUACCGGAUAAUGUCUUCGGACCAAAGAUUUAUCGCCUUUGGAUGGGCCCGCGUUGGAUUAGCUAGUUGGUAGGGUAAAAGCCUACAAAGGCGACGAUCCAUAGCUGGUCUGAGAGGAUGAUCAGCCACACUGGGACUGAGACACGGCCCAGACUCCUACGGGAGGAAGCAGUGGGGAAUAUGGACAAUGGGCGAAAGCCUGAUCCAGCAAUGCCGCGUGAGUGAUGAAGGCCUUAGGGUUGUAAAGCUCUUUUACCCGGGAUGAUAAUGACAGUACCGGGAGAAUAAGCGCCGGCUAACUCCGUG